GAGCCCACAACUGACUCAGUUUCCCAGUUUGAAUCUGAAGUCUAUUCUGAAUCAAUAAAGUUCAGGCUUGUUUGUUCCAAGGCUGUGAGAAAGUUCUGAUUAGCCCACAGAGUCUACUUGAAGGACUGUGAGAAAGUCCUGAUUAGCCCACAAGAAGGAACAUACUGUCUAGCUAGAUACAGGCUGCUGAUGCUAGCCACAGGUACAUUGAGAUAGAAAAAGAAACUGCUCCUUGGCAGGAGGCAGGAUAGACAGCUGAGCAUUGUUCUACCUCUAUCCUUCUAGGCUGUACAUAAGCUGGCUGUGAAAUAAACUCGGGGCUGUCCAGCAUUGACCAGCAGACCUCUCGACUCUUUUCUGUCUUCGUCAUCGUCUCUUCAAUCCACAUGCCUCUACCCAGCUACCCAGCUGACUGUCGGAAGGCCCAACAAGUGGCGCCCAUUGAGGGGGCUGGUACAGAGGCGUCUGUGACGGACACCACAGAAGAAAAAAGAGUGUACUCGAAAAGUGGAAGCUGUGUGUGAGAAAAGAUGUUGAAUUACCAGCCUGCAUACUCUGCAGUUUUGGGGAAAAUUAUGCUUUCGCCUCCACAGGAAAAGAAAAAAUACAUGGAUUCCGGUCAUUUGAGUUCAAUGGGUUACAAAUAUUUGUCAUCAUUUAAGAGAAUUGAUUACAAAUUAUUAUUGAAUAAGAUAAGAAAAACUUUUGCUAAUCUGAAAUGUUUCACAUUGAUACAUGUUUUUAAUAUAUUAAUGCAAAAAUAAGUUUUUGUUAUGAUAUAUGCAUAUAUCUAUAAGUUUCUAUUCUUGUUUGAAAUGUUAUGCCUAUGCAGUGUUCUAAACUGCUGGGAAGAAACCACAAGGAAAGGAACUUUGGUGGAAAUUUGCAUAUUGUCUGAAAAGCAAGAGAAGGUGAAAGAUUAGAAUAAUGAUAGGAAAGAGAAAAAAGGAAUUUGUCUAUGUCAGGCUGAACCAGAAGAGCAAACAUAGGGAAGGACCUGACCUCAAGGUAAAUGGUAAGUUGUAGAAUGUCAGAGAAGAUGUGAACUAUGCUGAAUGUGAAGGAAAACUUUAAGAUAUAAGUGGGAUUUAACCAUAUUAUGUUAAUUCUGGUUUUCUUCAUUU